GCAAAUCCGCUUUGAUAAUGCUGGGAUGUGAUGGGGAGCGAAAUUUAGUAGCGAAGUAGCUGAUUUCACACUGUCAAGAAAAGUCUCUAUCGAGGUUAAAGGUACCCGUACCGCAAACCGACACAGGAGGGUGAGGAGAGUAUCCUAAGGCCAGCGAGAGAACUGUUGUUAAGGAACUCGGCAAAAUGACCCCGUAACUUAGGGAUAAGGGGUGCCACCCUCAGGUGGCCGCAGAGAAUAGGCCCAAGCGACUGUUUACCAAAAACAUAGGUUUCUGCUAAGUCGCAAGACGAUGUAUAGGAGCUGACGCCUGCCCGGUGCUGGAAGGUUAAGGGGAUCUGUUAGAGCAAUCGAAGCAGUGAACUUAAGCCCCAGUAAACGGCGGCCGUAACUAUAACGGUCCUAAGGUAGCGAAAUUCCUUGUCGGGUAAGUUCCGACCCGCACGAAAGGCGUAACGAUUUGGGCACUGUCUCAACAACAGACUCGGUGAAAUUGUAAUUCCGGUGAAGAUGCCGGAUACCUGCGACAGGACGGAAAGACCCCAUGGAGCUUUACUGUAGCUUGACAUUGGGUCUUGGUACUACAUGUACAGGAUAGGUGGGAGGAUUUGAAACAAGGAUGCCAGUUUUAGCGGAGCCAUCCUUGGGAUACCACCCUUGUAGUACUGGGACUCUAACCAUAG
rnacentral:rRNA from 1 species